rnacentral:rRNA from 1 species
CCUACGGGUGGCAGCAGUGGGGAAUAUUGGUCAAUGGGCGCGAGCCUGAACCAGCCAAGUCGCGUGAAGGAUGACUGCCCUACGGGUUGUAAACAUCUUUUGUAAAGGAAUAAGGUGAGGCACGAAUGCCCUUUUGUAUUUACUUUAUGAAUAGGGAUCGGGUAACUCCGUUCCGUCAGCCGCGGUAAUAGGGUGGAUCGGAGCGUUGUCGGGAUUGGUUGGGUUGAAAGGGUGCGUAGGGGGAGUAUCAAGUCAACGGGAAAAAUUCGGGGCUAAACCCGGUAGUGCAGUUGAUACUGAUGUGCUUGAGUGGGCGAGAAGUAUGUGGAAUGCGUGGUGUAGCGGUGAAAUGCGUAGAGAUCAGGAAGAAUUCCGAUGGCGAAGGCAGCAUACUGGCGAACAACUGACGCUGAAGCGCGAAAGCGUGGGUAGCGAACAGGAUUAGAUACCCUUGUAGUC